UUUUAAUCACUCAUUUUUGUUUAGAAAGCCAGUGCCCUCUUUUCAAAUGGCAAGAGCAACAGAAAGAACAGAGGAGGAACCCUAUGAAUGUGAGUUCAUGACAGUCUCUCACCAACAGCAUGAGGUCAGGCUGAGCAGCUCUGGGUGUGCUGGUUCCCAUUACAUUGGACACAUGGCUGUGCUGCUGUUCAGCUCAGCAGCCUUCCGAGUUUCACACCUGAGAUCCUCUCAUCCACAUGUGGAAAACAAGGAACAGGCUUCCACUACGUUUACAGCAAAAUUAAGGGAAAUACCUCAUCCCCCCACCCCCACCCCACCGAUGUCUGUAAGUAUCCAUUUCUUUUAA
rnacentral:lncRNA from 1 species